rnacentral:misc_RNA from 1 species
CAAUAUCAUCCUUGGGCAUAGUUUAAGAAUGCAGGCCAAAUCCUCCUUUUAUGUUCUCAUCCUCCUCAAAAGGUUUGAAAACAAACGCUAAUUUUGAGAAUCCAUAUGUUUCGUUCCGUUUUCAAAUCGUUUCUAAAUCUUCCUAAAUCUAUCUCCAUAUUAACACCUUCUGUUUAUCGCCCAAUUUCGAUCUCCAUUUCUAGCUCAUACUCAACUCCAAGAAUUAGCAAGAGAAUUGGGUCAUUGUUUUCUGUACCCGUUGGUGAGCAAUUUCAAG